rnacentral:rRNA from 1 species
AAGAACAACAGGGAUUGCCUUAGUAACGGCGAGUGAAGCGGCAAAAGCUCAAAUUUGAAAUCUGGCGUCUUCGGCGUCCGAGUUGUAAUUUGAAGAAGGCUACUUUGGGGCUGGAGUUUGUCUAAGUUCCUUGGAACAGGACGUCACAGAGGGUGAGAAUCCCGUGAGAUAAGCUUCCCAGUUCUAUGUAAAGUGCUUUCGAAGAGUCGAGUUGUUUGGGAAUGCAGCUCUAAGUGGGUGGUAAAUUCCAUCUAAAGCUAAAUAUUGGCGAGAGACCGAUAGCGAACAAGUACAGUGAUGGAAAGAUGAAAAGAACUUUGAAAAGAGAGUGAAAAAGUACGUGAAAUUGUUGAAAGGGAAGGGCUUGAGAUCAGACAUGGUAUUUUGUAAACCUUCUCUCUCGUGGAGGGGGCCCCUUGCAGCUUACUGGGCCAGCAUCAGUUUGGGCGGUAGGAUAAUGACUAAGGAAUGUGACUUGCCUUCGGGGAAGUGUUAUAGCCUUGGUUGAUACUGCCAGCCUAGACUGAGGACCGCGUCUUGACAAGGAUGUGCA